GUACAUAAUUUUAGAUAUAUUCAUUUUCUAUUCUUAAUAAUGUAAUAUUACAUUUAAGUCCUUCUUUGGACGUUUUUUCAAUGCGUCCUCUGCUAUAUUUAUUGUAACUCGCCUGAUCUUUAUGAUAGUCUGCACCUUGAUCUGUAAUAUUAGCUAGCUAAACUAUAUGAUAAUAUAUUAUAUAUUAUCUGCUGACGACGGCAUACAAAAUGUUACAUUAAAGUAGAUUACCUUGGUGGUUAUCAUUUAUUUGGUAAGUUCCCCUAAAUUUUAAAAUUACCGCCAUGCUAUUUGAGUUUUGACCAAUAAGGCUUUAGUACUCAGUGUUUUUACGUGAGUAUUGUAUAAAAGGGUAUCUAAUCCUUGUUUACGGUCAAUAUUUUUAUAUUAUAUAUUGGUUUAACAGAGUUAAUAAAUAUUAUUUCACCAAUAUUUCAUUAUAUUAAACUUAAUUACACUUUUGUUGUUCACUACUAUAAAAGUCUGACCGCGACUGCUGGCACUUUUUUUAGUCAUAGUAUUUAUAAUUGGUUUAAUCUUACUUUCCGUAAUUUUAUAAAUUCUCUUGCCUGGUUGUAUCCUUUUAGUACCAUUAGUAUCCUAUUUUAUAUGAACGUUUCACUAU
rnacentral:rRNA from 1 species